UCUUGACAAUUUUCAUUGGUCUUACAUAUGUACAUAUAUGACUAAUUAUGUUUGCUGUAAAUAUUCAUAUCUUUUCUACAACUACAAAUAUGAGUUGCAGAUUACUUCAAAUUUUUAGAAAUUGUGACAUCAUCCAUUUAGUUCUAAUUAAUAUUUUUAUCAAAAUACAUGUGCCGAUAUGUGCAUAUCAAAGUACUACGUUAAAGUAUUUGUCAUAAGCAAUGAUUUUCAUUUUAGUUACAGAAAUCGCUUCUGCGGGCCCAGAAAAUAUUCACAAUAAAGUUGAAACUUUCUCUAAACUUGUAGUUCCAUGGGAAAAAACACUUAAAGUAAUGUCCUUCGAUCGAAGCUGAUACUCAAAUUGAAAUUGUAAAAGAAAGGAAAUCAGUAAUUUAUGAUUGUCGUUUGGAGUGACUUUUGAUUGGAGAAUUCAACCUUGUCUGAAUUGAGUUAUAUGAUAAACAAGUGCAUAAAAUAACGUAAGUGAUGUUAUUCAAACAUCCUACUAAUGUACUACAUUUAGUGGCUACUGCUCACUUAUUAUGGUUUGUUUGACUUGCAACAUGUUACAACCAAGAGUGGUAUCGAACUAUUGCCUCCCCCCAAAAUGCCGCUAAUCAAAAAACUAUAAAGUGCCAUAACCAAUAUCCACAUUAAGAUACCAAACCGUUAUUUGAUACAAUGAAUCGCAUUAAGGAAACAGCUCUUUGGUUUGAAAAGUUUUUAAAUGUGGGCGUGGCCCCGCCCUCUAAUAGGUUUAAUGUGCAUAUCUCACAAGCUACUAAAGCGAUCUCAACCUAACUUGUUAAGAAAAGCAUAACUUUUUAGCAUAUCCUCAAACAGUAUGAAAUUAGGUGAAAUCAGAUGACAACUACGCGCACUCCCCAUAUAACGGUACGAAAGAACUUCAUGGGUAAAAUCCUAUAUCUUGGGGACCACUUUACCGAUUUCAGCUAAAUAUUUGGAUUAUUUAGUUAAUUUAAACUUAAAUAGAGCAUUAUGUUUUUAAACUGCAUGCCUGAAAUUUUCUAUAAAUUUCGAUGUAAAAUCGAUUGUCAAAUUUUCAAAUUGUGAGUUGUAUUUCAUUAAACUGGAAUUAUAUUUUCAUAAAAAAGAGAUUGAAAAGUUAUAAAUAAACCUAAAAAGAUAAAAGUGUA